rnacentral:rRNA from 1 species
UACGUAGGGGGCUAGCGUUGUCCGGAAUCACUGGGCGUAAAGGGCGUGUAGGCGGUCCGCUAAGUCUGAUGUGAAAGCCCGGGGCUCACCCCCGGAAGGGCAUUGGAAACUGGCGGACUCGAGUCCCGGAGAGGAAGGUGGAAUUCCUGGUGUAGCGGUGAAAUGCGUAGAUAUCAGGAGGAAUACCGGUGGCGAAGGCGGCCUUCUGGACGGUGACUGACGCUGAGACGCGAAAGCGUGGGGAGCAAACAGG